GAAUAUGAUGAUAGAAUUUUGUCGCCCCAGGCUUAAUUUGCAUCCAUCAAUCGGUGCAAUGUGGUGAUUGACGUUUAAUCUGAUUU